rnacentral:lncRNA from 1 species
GCGAUAAUAUGACCAAUAAGUGGCACAUAUACAUGACGAAAGAUGGAAGGAUAUCAUUAGCUGGGCUGUCUUUGGCCAAGUGCGAGUAUCUUGCGGACGCCAUUAUUGACUCCUACCAUAAUGUCAACUAAAGAGCUGCAUCAUGCAACAGAUGCUUAGAAGCAAAUUAUGUGGGUGGAUAGAUAUCGAGAUAGACAGGCACUUUAUUACAAAAAAAAGUUGAAACUGGAAUAGUGGAAGUCAGCUAUGUACCUUCAAAGCAACAAACAGCUGAUGUUUUCGCUAAGGUUCUGUCACAAGAGCUCCUAAAGUUCUUUAAGUCCAAGCUUGGUCUUGUGAAUAUCUACAUCAAGUUUGAGGGGAAGUGUAGAGAAUUCUACAGAUUAGCUAAGCAACCGAUUAUACAUACCCUAUUAACUGUAUUAUUUAUUAUUAGGGUAAUUACCUCCUAAUAGGAUUUUUAGAUUAGGUAAGUCUCAAGACUUGUAUAUAUAACUCUAUUGCCUACAAGCCUUCUAAUAAUAAGAAUAUAACAUUCUAUCAAAUUUACAAUU